CCACCUUUCCCCAGUCACCAGGCGGAAGACAGGUGAGGAGGGUGUGCAGCAGCUGCGAGGGAAAAAGAAGAACCCUAUUUCCGCUAUUUCACCGUUAUUCUAGAGGGAAUGCGCUACGUCACAGCACAAGCGAAGGCUGACUAAACACGAGCUGAAACUUUUUUUCUUCCCCGGGAGUGACGACGCAGUGACUGGGGAAUGACUUGACUCUCGACUCUUGGAAAUGGAUGAACAACGAGCUUUGGAGAAAGUCCCUCUUCGCCCGCCAGCCCAGCUCCUUCUCGGCCUUGCUGCAGGAUGCCACCACACUGGCCACGUCCCCAGCCCGGCGGCCCACCACGCGGUAUGGCACUG